CCUGAGUUCGAUCCCCAGUACCAAAAAUAAAAAAGAAUUUUUAAAGGAUUCAUCCAUGUUGUAAUGAAUGAAUGAAUCAAUGAAUGAAUGUUUGGUAGAAUUUACCUUUGCAGAGGGUAGGGGGAGUUAGUAUCUUUACAAAGUAUGAUCAUAAAUAUAGUGCAUGCAGGUGGUGAGCACCAUUCAACAGAAAGGCAGGCUCGUAAAAACCUUACCCACCUUCUUCACCAGAUCUGGCACCAUGCAACUUCUGGAUGUCCCCCAAAGUGAAAAUGACCAUGAAAUGUAAAUGUUCUGAAUCAAUUCAUGAUGUUGAAGCAGCCCUGACAGUGCAACUAAAGACACUCACAAAACAGGACUUCUAGAACUGCUGCAGAAGGUGUUAAGAACAAAGGGAGAACCUGAAAUAGUAUGACAUUUUAGAAUGGUCUCUGGGCUGGUGGAACUCAUGACUGAGCUUUAUCACUUAGAUCUCCGGGAAGCAGCAACUAUACAGAAGGAACUCAGGCAGCCCACUCACUAAUCAGAUGUCUCCUGGUGGAUCACAUAACUCGUCUGAGACAUGUUCUUCUCAUUUGUAGAAUAAGAAUGAAAACAUCUUCCUGGGUAAAGGAGAAACACCAUGCUCAGAAGUGAAGCAGUGCCAUCUCAGUUGCUCAGCUGAUGUUCACUUACCUUACUACACCAAGGGUAGGAAGGAAGAUGGUCUGUCCUCUUUUUCGGUUAUAUUUCUCCAUAAAGCUUUCUCUGACUCACAAGCCUUAAUAGCUCUAUACAUUUCUCUAUUGUAACUCUCAGUGCACUUGUUCAAUCCUCAAUGAGUAAUAACCUAUUCAACAUCUGUCUCCCCUGUUUCAGUGUAAGCAACAAGAGGGUAAGGACCACUGGAUGUGGUCUCACACCCCUCACCUCAGCUACUCAGGAGGCUGAGACAGGAGAAUUCCAAGCUCAAGACCAGCUUGGGCAACUUAGCGAAACUGUGUUUCAAAAAAGUAAAUAAAAUUAAAAGGCCUGGUGAUACAUCUCAGCACUAGAAUACUUACGUAUUAUGCAUAAGGUUCUGGGUUCAAUCCCCAGGCCAACGCACAAAAAUCAAAAAAAGAGUGUAAGGAUAAUAAUGUUAGUCUUAUUCCAUGCCUGUUUUAGCUACUUUCUCACCACUGGGACAAAAUACCCAACACCCCAUAAGUUAAAGGAGGAGAGGUCUAUUUUGGGUCACACUUUGUAGAGGUUUCAGUCCAUAGUCAGCUGGUUCCAAG
ensembl:lncRNA